CAAGGCCAUGGUUUUUCCAGUAGUCAUGUAUGGAUAUGAGAGUUGGACUACAAAGAAAGCUGAGCCCAAAGAAUUGAUGCUUGUGAACUGUGGUGUUGGAGAAGACUCUUGAGAGUUCCUUGGACUGCAAGGAGAUCCAACCAGUCCAUUCUAAAGGAAAUCAGUCUGGAAAAUUUGUUGGAAAGACUGAUGCUGAGGCCGAAACUCCAAUACUUUGGCCACCUGAUGGGUAGAACUGACUCAUUUGAAAAGACUGUGAUGCUGGGCAAGAUUUGAAGGCAGGAGAAGGGGAUGACAGAGGAUGAGAUGGUUGGAUGGCAUCAUCGACUCAACGGACAUGAGUUUGAGCAAACUCCGGCAGUUGGUGAUGGACAGGGAGGCCUGGUGUGCUGCAGUCCACGGGGUUGCAGAGAGUUAGACACACCUGAGCGACUGAACUGAACUGAAGUUAGGAUCAAGGAGAGCAGUAUAAGAAGUCAUCCCAUACAAGAAGUUCAGCAAAAAGGGAAAGACAAAAGUAAAGAUGGACUCUAAGCUAGUUAAAGAUCAGUCUUAUCAGUAUAAGAUCACAGGGAAAUGUGAGAAAUAGGAAAUGGGAGGAAAAAAACUUAAUUUUAGUAUAGAUAAUGUGCCAACAUAAAUUACAAUCUAUCAGUGCUAACCAAAAGUGAGAAUGUGAUAUUCUUGUGAAUAAACUAUUUGCAAAUGUACUUUAAAAACAAUUCACCAUGUUAUGGAAUGAGAUAGGGGGACAAUGGAGUGCCACUGAAAACAUACUUCUCAACUUAGAGCCAGUCACAUUAGCAAAAAUGCAUUUAGUCUGUGUCACUCAAGAAUUCUCUGAGAUAGUAUCCUUCCCAAGGCAAAGGGGUAACUGAAGAUGGACAAGUAAUGAAAGAGGCUGUACAGAAAUUAUGCAGAUUUUCUCUAGGGACAAUUUCAGAAUAAGACUGAAAAAAAUCUUACCAUUUACCUUCUUUUCUUCCAAUAUCUAAUCCUGCCCCUAGUCUUCAGACUUCUGGUUUCACUGGAGCAAGAAAAGAAAUCAGAAGAGAAAUUCCAUAUUCCUCCAGCAGUGUCUCCCACCUUCUUAGAGGUGAGCGCCCUGCUCCCUCCUGCCUCCUGCAUCCCUGAGAACUGGCAGCACUCUGGCCUCCAUUUAAUCUCACCAGUCAAGAACUGUGUUCCCUCUAUUCUCUUCCCAUUUGUUU
ensembl:lncRNA